rnacentral:tRNA from 1 species
UGGGGUAUACUUGUAAUGGUUAGCAAAGAGGUCUCUAAAACCUUUAGUCCUGGUUCGAAUCCAGGUACCCCAA